GAGUUUGAUCGUGGCUCAGAUUGAACGCUGGCGGCAUGCCUAACACAUGCAAGUCGAACGAGACCUUCGGGUCUAGUGGCGCACGGGUGCGUAACGCGUGGGAAUCUGCCCUUGGGUUCGGAACAACAGUUGGAAACGACUGCUAAUACCGGAUGAUGACUUCGGUCCAAAGAUUUAUCGCCUGAGGAUGAGCCCGCGUCGGAUUAGCUAGCUGGUAGGGUAAAAGCCUACCAAGGCGACGAUCCGUAGCUGGUCUGAGAGGAUGAUCAGCCACACUGGGACUGAGACACGGCCCAGACUCCUACGGGAGGCAGCAGUGGGGAAUAUUGGACAAUGGGCGAAAGCCUGAACCAGCAAUGCCGCGUGAGUGAUGAAGGCCUUCGGUUGU
rnacentral:rRNA from 1 species